rnacentral:lncRNA from 12 species
AUGCUUUGUGUUCAGGUUGCACGAAGAGGUGGAGGGAUGCCUGGCUUUUCUUUAUUCGCCCAGAAUAGGCUGAUGGGAAGUCGGAGCCUGCCUUCCUCUCUUGAAACAACCCCCACGUAUUUCUACAGGGGAACUGAAAUACCUGCCCUAACAGUGGGACCCAGGCAAGCAUGCUCUUUCUCCUUUGUUGUUAAGACCUCUCUUCAAACCCAGUUGCUUCAAGACAGAAAGGAGACUGGAGAGCUUCACCGGUAACUAG